UACGAAGGGGGCUAGCGUUGCUCGGAAUCACUGGGCGUAAAGCGCACGUAGGCGGAUUGUUAAGUCAGGGGUGAAAUCCUGGAGCUCAACUCCAGAACUGCCUUGAUACUGACGAUCUCGAGUCCGGGAGAGGUGAGUGGAACUGCGAGUGUAGAGGUGAAAUUCGUAGAUAUUCGCAAGAACACCAGUGGCGAAGGCGGCUCACUGGCCCGGUACUGACGCUGAGGUGCGAAAGCGUGGGGAGCAACAGG
rnacentral:rRNA from 1 species